rnacentral:rRNA from 1 species
UGCAACGCGAAGAACCUUACCCGGUCUUGACAUCCCGGAGACCCUUAGGAAACUAGGGGUGCUUCCAUCUGGAAGAAUCUGGAGACAGGUGCUGCAUGGCUGUCGUCAGCUCGUGUCGUGAGAUGUUGGGUUAAGUCCCGCAACGAGCGCAACCCUUGCCUUUAGUUGCCAGCAGUUCGGCUGGGCACUCUAAAGGGACUGCCGGUGUUAAACCGGAGGAAGGUGGGGGAUGACGUCAAGUCCUCAUGGCCUUUAUGACCAGGGCUACACACGUACUACAAUGGCCGAUACAAAGGGCAGCGACACUGCGAGGUGAAGCCAAUCCCGUAAAAUCGGUCUCAGUCCGGAUUGGAGUCUGCAACUCGACUCCAUGAAGUUGGAAUCGCUAGUAAUCGUGGAUCAGCAUGCCACGGUGAAUACGUUCCCGGGCCUU